rnacentral:rRNA from 1 species
GACGAACGCUGGCGGCGUGCUUAACACAUGCAAGUCGAACGGAAAGGCCCUGCUUUUGUGGGGUGCUCGAGUGGCGAACGGGUGAGUAACACGUGAGUAACCUGCCCUUGACUUUGGGAUAACUUCAGGAAACUGGGGCUAAUACCGGAUAGGAGCUCCUGCUGCAUGGUGGGGGUUGGAAAGUUUCGGCGGUUGGGGAUGGACUCGCGGCUUAUCAGCUUGUUGGUGGGGUAGUGGCUUACCAAGGCUUUGACGGGUAGCCGGCCUGAGAGGGUGACCGGCACCAUUGGGCUGCGGUACGGGCCAGGCCUCAAACGGGGGCAAGCGGGGGGAAUAUUGCACAAUGGGCGGAAGCCUGAUGCAGCAACGCCGCGUGCGGGAUGACGGCCUUCGGGUUGUAAACCGCUUUCGCCUGUGACGAAGCGUGAGUGACGGUAAUGGGUAAAGAAGCACCGGCUAACUACGUG